rnacentral:rRNA from 1 species
GAUGAACGCUGGCGGCGUGCCUAAUACAUGCAAGUCGAGCGAACAGACGAGGAGCUUGCUCCUCUGACGUUAGCGGCGGACGGGUGAGUAACACGUGGAUAACCUACCUAUAAGACUGGGAUAACUUCGGGAAACCGGAGCUAAUACCGGAUAAUAUAUUGAACCGCAUGGUUCAAUAGUGAAAGACGGCUUUGCUGUCACUUAUAGAUGGAUCCGCGCCGCAUUAGCUAGUUGGUAAGGUAACGGCUUACCAAGGCAACGAUGCGUAGCCGACCUGAGAGGGUGAUCGGCCACACGGGAACUGAGACACGGUCCAGACUCCUACGGGAGGCAGCAGUAGGGAAUCUUCCGCAAAGGGCGAAAGCCUGACGGAGCAACGCCGCGUGAGUGAUGAAGGUCUUCGGAUCGUAAAACUCUGUUAUUAGGGAAGAACAAAUGUGUAAGUAACUAUGCACGUCUUGACGGUACCUAAUCAGAAAGCCACGGCUAACUACGUG